GACGAACGCUGGCGGCGUGCCUAAUACAUGCAAGUCGAACGGAAGCUUUCUUCACGGAAUGCUUGCAUUUCACGAAAGAAGCUUUAGUGGCGAACGGGUGAGUAACACGUAGGCAACCUGCCCAAAAGAGGGGGAUAACACUUGGAAACAGGUGGUAAUACCGCAUAACCAUGGACAUCGCAUGAUGUUCAUGUAAAAGACGGCUUUUGCUGUCACUUUUGGAUGGGCCUGCGGCGUAUUAACUUGUUGGUGGGGUAACGGCCUACCAAGGUGAUGAUACGUAGCCGAACUGAGAGGUUGUUUCGGCCACAUUGGGAUUGAGACACGGCCCAAACUCCUACGGGAGGCAGCAGUAGGGAAUCUUCCACAAUGGACGAAAGUCUGAUGGAGCAACGCCGCGUGAAUGAAGAAGGCCUUCGGGUCGUAAAAUUCUGUUGUCAGAGAAGAACAUGCGUGAGAGUAACUGUUCACGUAUUGACGGUAUCUGACC
rnacentral:rRNA from 1 species